rnacentral:rRNA from 1 species
AUUGAACGCUGGCGGCAGGCCUAACACAUGCAUGUCGAGCGGAUGAGGAGAGCUUGCUCUCUGAUUUAGCGGCGGACGGGUGAGUAAUGCCUAGGAAUCUGCCUGGUAGUGGGGGAUAACGUCCGGAAACGGGCGCUAAUACCGCAUACGUCCUACGGGAGAAAGCAGGGGACCUUCGGGCCUUGCGCUAUCAGAUGAGCCUAGGUCGGAUUAGCUAGUUGGUGAGGUAAUGGCUCACCAAGGCUACGAUCCGUAACUGGUCUGAGAGGAUGAUCAGUCACACUGGAACUGAGACACGGUCCAGACUCCUACGGGAGGCAGCAGUGGGGAAUAUUGGACAAUGGGCGAAAGCCUGAUCCAGCCAUGCCGCGUGUGUGAAGAAGGUCUUCGGAUUGUAAAGCACUUUAAGUUGGGAGGAAGGGCAGUAAGUUAAUACCUUGCUGUUUUGACGUUACCGACAGAAUAAGCACCGGCUAACUUCGUGCCAGCAGCCGCCGUAAAAC